GGAGGUGUUGCUCAGUGGUACAGUGCUUGCCUAGCAUGCAUGAGGCCUCGGUUUGAUACCCAGCACCACACA
rnacentral:tRNA from 1 species